rnacentral:rRNA from 1 species
UACGUAGGGUGCAAGCGUUGUCCGGAAUUAUUGGGCGUAAAGAGCUUGUAGGCGGUUUGUCGCGUCUGCUGUGAAAUUUCGGGGCUCAACCCCGAACUUGCAGUGGGUACGGGCAGACUAGAGUGUGGUAGGGGGAGACUGGAAUUCCUGGUGUAGCGGUGAAAUGCGCAGAGUAUCAGGAGGAACACCGGUGGCGAAGGCGGGGUCUCUGGGGCCGAAACUGACGCUGAGGAGCGAAAGCGUGGGGAGCAAACAG